GGUUGCAACAUCCCCGUGGAUUGGGUGAGGGCCGAAAGGCCACACAGCGAAUCGACUGCAACU
rnacentral:sRNA from 12 species